rnacentral:rRNA from 1 species
GAUGAACGCUGGCGGCGUGCCUAAUACAUGCAAGUCGAACGAACGGACGAUAAGCUUGCUUUUUUGCUGUUAGCGGCGGACGGGUGAGUAACACGUGGAUAACCUACCUAUAUGACUGGGGUAACUUCGGGAAACCGGAUCUGCUACCGGAGCAUAUUUUGAACCGCUUGGUUCAAAAGUGCAAGACGGCUUUGCUGUCACUUAUAGAUGGUUCCGCGCUGCAUUAGCUAGUUGGUAAGGUAACGGCUUACCAAGGCGACGAUGCAUAGCCGACCUGAGAGGGUGAUCGGCCACACUGGAACUGAGACACGGUCCAGACUCCUACGGGAGGCAGCAGUAGGGAAUCUUCGGCAAUGGGCGAAAGCCUGACGGAGCAACGCCGCGUGAGUGAUGAAGGUCUUCGGAUUGUAAAGCUCUGUUAUUAGGGAAGAACAGAUGUGUAAGUAACUGUGCACAUCUUGACGGUACCUAAUCAGAAAGCCCCGGCUAACUACGUG